GGUUAAGCGACUAAGCGUACACGGUGGAUGCCCUGGCAGUCAGAGGCGAUGAAGGACGUGCUAAUCUGCGAAAAGCGUCGGUAAGGUGAUAUGAACCGUUACAGCCGGCGAUGUCCGAAUGGGGAAACCCAGUGCAAUUCGUUGCACUAUCGUUAACUGAAUACAUAGGUUAACGAGGCGAACCGGGGGAACUGAAACAUCUAAGUACCCCGAGGAAAAGAAAUCAACCGAGAUUCCCCCAGUAGCGGCGAGCGAACGGGGAGCAGCCCGGAGUCUGAAUCAGCUUGUGUGUUAGUGGAAGCGUCUGGAAAGUCGCAGGGUACAGGGUGAUACUCCCGUACACUAAAACACACAGGUUGUGAACUCGAAGAGUAGGGCGGGACACGUGGUAUCCUGUCUGAAUAUGGGGGGACCAUCCUCCAAGGCUAAAUACUCCUGACUGACCGAUAGUGAACCAGUACCGUGAGGGAAAGGCGAAAAGAACCCCGGCGAGGGGAGUGAAAAAGAACCUGAAACCGUGUACGUACAAGCAGUAGGAGCCCACUUGUUGGGUGACUGCGUACCUUUUGUAUAAUGGGUCAGCGACUUAUAUUCUGUAGCAAGGUUAACCGUAUAGGGGAGCCGCAGGGAAACCGAGUCUUAACUGGGCGUUAAGUUGCAGGGUAUAGACCCGAAACCCGGUGAUCUAGCCAUGGGCAGGUUGAAGGUUGGGUAACACUAACUGGAGGACCGAACCGACUAAUGUUGAAAAAUUAGCGGAUGACUUGUGGCUGGGGGUGAAAGGCCAAUCAAACCGGGAGAUAGCUGGUUCUCCCCGAAAGCUAUUUAGGUAGCGCCUCGUGAACUCAUCUUCGGGGGUAGAGCACUGUUUCGGCUAGGGGGUCAUCCCGACUUACCAACCCGAUGCAAACUACGAAUACCGAAGAAUGUUAUCACGGGAGACACACGGCGGGUGCUAACGUCCGUCGUGAAGAGGGAAACAACCCAGACCGCCAGCUAAGGUCCCAAAGUCAUGGUUAAGUGGGAAACGAUGUGGGAAGGCCCAGACAGCCAGGAUGUUGGCUUAGAAGCAGCCAUCAUUUAAAGAAAGCGUAAUAGCUCACUGGUCGAGUCGGCCUGCGCGGAAGAUGUAACGGGGCUAAACCAUGCACCGAAGCUGCGGCAGCGACACUAUGUGUUGUUGGGUAGGGGAGCGUUCUGUAAGCCGUUGAAGGUGGCCUGUGAGGGUUGCUGGAGGUAUCAGAAGUGCGAAUGCUGACAUAAGUAACGAUAAUGCGGGUGAAAAACCCGCACGCCGGAAGACCAAGGGUUCCUGUCCAACGUUAAUCGGGGCAGGGUGAGUCGACCCCUAAGGCGAGGCCGAAAGGCGUAGUCGAUGGGAAACAGGUUAAUAUUCCUGUACUCGGUGUUACUGCGAAGGGGGGACGGAGAAGGCUAUGUUGGCCGGGCGACGGUUGUCCCGGUUUAAGCAUGUAGGCGGAUGUUCCAGGUAAAUCCGGAACGUUACUAACGCUGAGGUGUGAUGACGAGGCACUACGGUGCUGAAGUGACAAAUGCCCUGCUUCCAGGAAAAGCCUCUAAGCAUCAGGUAACAUCAAAUCGUACCCCAAACCGACACAGGUGGUCAGGUAGAGAAUACCAAGGCGCUUGAGAGAACUCGGGUGAAGGAACUAGGCAAAAUGGUGCCGUAACUUCGGGAGAAGGCACGCUGAUGGUAGGUGAAGUGACUUGCUCAUGGAGCUGAAAUCAGUCGAAGAUACCAGCUGGCUGCAACUGUUUAUUAAAAACACAGCACUGUGCAAACACGAAAGUGGACGUAUACGGUGUGACGCCUGCCCGGUGCCGGAAGGUUAAUUGAUGGGGUUAUCCGUAAGGAGAAGCUCUUGAUCGAAGCCCCGGUAAACGGCGGCCGUAACUAUAACGGUCCUAAGGUAGCGAAAUUCCUUGUCGGGUAAGUUCCGACCUGCACGAAUGGCGUAAUGAUGGCCAGGCUGUCUCCACCCGAGACUCAGUGAAAUUGAACUCGCUGUGAAGAUGCAGUGUACCCGCGGCAAGACGGAAAGACCCCGUGAACCUUUACUAUAGCUUGACACUGAACACUGGUCCUUGAUGUGUAGGAUAGGUGGGAGGCUUUGAAGUGUGGACGCCAGUCUGCAUGGAGCCAUCCUUGAAAUACCACCCUUUAAUGGCUGGUGUUCUAACGUGGGCCCCUGAUCGGGGUUGCGGACAGUGUCUGGUGGGUAGUUUGACUGGGGCGGUCUCCUCCUAAAGAGUAACGGAGGAGCACGAAGGUCAGCUAAUCCUGGUCGGACAUCAGGAGGUUAGUGCAAUGGCAUAAGCUGGCUUGACUGCGAGCGUGACGGCGCGAGCAGGUGCGAAAGCAGGUCAUAGUGAUCCGGUGGUUCUGAAUGGAAGGGCCAUCGCUCAACGGAUAAAAGGUACUCCGGGGAUAACAGGCUGAUACCGCCCAAGAGUUCAUAUCGACGGCGGUGUUUGGCACCUCGAUGUCGGCUCAUCACAUCCUGGGGCUGAAGUAGGUCCCAAGGGUAUGGCUGUUCGCCAUUUAAAGUGGUACGCGAGCUGGGUUUAGAACGUCGUGAGACAGUUCGGUCCCUAUCUGCCGUGGGCGCUGGAGAAUUGAGGGGGGCUGCUCCUAGUACGAGAGGACCGGAGUGGACGCAUCACUGGUGUUCGGGUUGUCAUGCCAAUGGCAUUGCCCGGUAGCUAAAUGCGGAAGAGAUAAGUGCUGAAAGCAUCUAAGCACGAAACUUGCCCCGAGAUGAGUUCUCCCUGACCCUUUAAGGGUCCUGAAGGAACGUUGAAGACGACGACGUUGAUAGGCCGGGUGUGUAAGCGCAGCGAUGCGUUGAGCUAACCGGUACUAAUGAACCGUGAGGCUUAACCUU
rnacentral:rRNA from 1 species